rnacentral:rRNA from 1 species
UACGUAGGGGGCAAGCGUUGUCCGGAUUUAUUGGGCGUAAAGGGCUCGUAGGUGGUUUGGUAAGUCGGAUGUGAAAUCUCCAGGCUCAACCUGGAGGGGUCAUUCGAUACUGCCAUGACUAGAGGUCGGUAGGGGAGUGUGGAAUUCCUGGUGUAGCGGUGAAAUGCGCAGAUAUCAGGAGGAACACCGGUGGCGAAGGCGGAUCUCUGGGCCGAUACUGACGCUGAGGAGCGAAAGCGUGGGGAGCGAACAGG